rnacentral:sRNA from 2 species
UGAAAAACCACAUUCGCAGUUACAAAUCCAUGUCACCGGCGCUUGAUCGUGCCGAGGGUCUGAUCACCGGCUUGUCCCCCGCCGCAUCAGGCUUGGACAA